UUGCCAAGGAGACACUGGGGCCUGUUUUACUUUCCUAUUGCCGCUGUAACAAAUUACCACAAACCUGGGGGCUUAAAGCAACACACAUUUAUUACCUUACAGUUCUGAGGUCAGAAGUACAAAACGGAUCUCACUGAGCUUAAAUCAAGGUGCUGUCAAGGCUGGACCCCUCCUGGGCACUCCAGGGGAGAAUCUGUGUUCUUGCUCUUUCCAGCUUCCAGAGGCUGUUUGCAUUCCUGGACUCAGGCCAUUUUCAAAGAGAGCAAUGCCAGUCCCAUCUUCCUCACAUGGCAUUGUUCAGACACUCUUUUUUUCCAUUUUUAAUGACCCUUGUGAUCACACUGGUCCCACCGAAUAAUCCAGGAAAAUUUCCCUGUCAUGAUGUCAACUGAUUAGCAAUCUUAAUUCAACCCCCAACCUCAAUUCCCUUUUGCCAUGUCAGGAUACAUAUGUGAAGACUCCAGAGGUCAGGACACAGACAUUUGGGGACAACCAUUAUUCUGCCUUCCGUAGACUGUCAGGACACUAGCCACUUCUGGGACUACACAAGGAUGGUCUCAACAUGAGCCAAAGGGGCUGGAAUAUUAGUAAUUUUUUAAAAAGAUUUUAUUUAUUUGACAGGGAGAGAGAGAGAGAGAGAGCGAGCACACAAGCAGGGGGAGCAGAAGAGGGAGAAACAGGCUGCCCACUGAGCGUGGAGCCCGACGUAGGGCUCGAUCCCAGGACCCUGGGAUCAUGACCUGAGCUGAAGGCAGACACUUAACCAACUGAGCCACCCAGGAGCCCCAAGGAAUGCUAGUAAUUUUUGUGGAGAAGAUGAAUGUGGCUUUAGAAUCUCAGUCUCACUGUAUGUCUAGUGUAGUCUGAAGGAAAACCUGUUAAGCUAGUUUUGUACCAACGUUGAAUCUGGAAGCAAAGAGGACUCCCAAUCGUUCAAACCCUUUCUCUCCCCUCCCCCAUUCAAAGUUAUUCAGAUGUAUUUUCCGGCCCUACGUCUGCAUCAGUGCUUCUGCUCUUUUGUGGAGUCCUUCAUCCACCAACACAACCACACCCGGAGGGUGAAAAUACGUCACCACGGUGCUCCAUCCUCAACACACUUCCUGAGAAAAUUCUACCACUCACGAGAACCCCUGCUGAAAUACUUCUCAUCACUUUUCACUGACCAGCGGUGUGAGCGAGGAACAUUCUUUGAGAGUGACUGUAUAUCAACUUGUCCAUCAACUUUGGAGUCCAGAACAAAGGGCACAUCAAUGAAAAGAGAGAAGAGUUUUAUUCUAUUAAAGAAUAAAAGAAGGUCAACCCUAGUGACUUCUCUGAAGCUUUAUUUCCUGAGUUAAGAGAAAAAAAAAUCUUCAGCAUUCGGAAUUUAAUGGUGCCAUGCUUUGUUUUCUCCUUGCCAAAUAAAUUGGUUUAAGUUAAAACA
rnacentral:lncRNA from 1 species